rnacentral:rRNA from 1 species
UACGUAGGCAGCGAGCGUUGUUCGGAGUUACUGGGCGUAAAGGGUGUGUAGGCGGCCUCUUAAGUUUGGUGUGAAAUCUCCCGGCUUAACUGGGGAGGGUGCGCCGAAGACUGUUGGGGCUGGAGUGUGGGGAGAGGCAGGCGGAAUUCCUGGUGUAGCGGUGAAAUGCGUAGAUAUCAGGAGGAACACCGGUGGUGUAGGCGGCCUGCUGGACCGAUAACUGACGCUGAGGCACGAAAGCGUGGGGAGCAAACAGG